GUGGGGAAUAUUGGACAAUGGGCGCAAGCCUGAUCCAGCAAUGCCGCGUGUGUGAAGAAGGUCUUCGGAUCGUAAAGCACUUUCGACGGGGACGAUGAUGACGGUACCCGUAGAAGAAGCCCCGGCUAACUUCGUGCCAGCAGCCGCGGUAAUACGAAGGGGGCUAGCGUUGCUCGGAAUUACUGGGCGUAAAGGGCGCGUAGGCGGCUCUGUGAGUCAGGCGUGAAAUUCCUGGGCUUAACCUGGGGACUGCGCUUGAUACUGCAGGGCUUGAGGCCGAGAGAGGGUGGUGGAAUUCCCAGUGUAGAGGUGAAAUUCGUAGAUAUUGGGAAGAACACCGGUGGCGAAGGCGACCACCUGGCUCGGUACUGACGCUGAGGCGCGACAGCGUGGGGAGCAAACAGGAUUAGAUACCCGAGUAGUCC
rnacentral:rRNA from 1 species